UACGUAGGGUGCAAGCGUUAAUCGGAAUUACUGGGCGUAAAGCGUGCGCAGGCGGUUUUGUAAGUCUGUCGUGAAAGCCCCGGGCUCAACCUGGGAAUUGCGAUGGAGACUGCAAGGCUUGAAUCUGGCAGAGGGGGGUAGAAUUCCACGUGUAGCAGGUGAAAUGCGUAGAGAUGAUGGAGGAACACCGAUGGCGAAGGCAGCCCCCCUGGGUCAAGAUUGACGCUCAUGCACGAAAGCGUGGGGAGCAAACAGG
rnacentral:rRNA from 1 species